ensembl:snoRNA SNORD31 Small nucleolar RNA SNORD31
AAUAGAAAUGAUGAGCUCUUUUAUACCGCCCCAGUCUGAGAGUUCAUGACUGAUUGGUAUCCUCUCUGAUUGCA